ensembl:ncRNA lncRNA:CR32661 long non-coding RNA:CR32661
GCCACCAGAGCUCGUCUGGAGCACAACUAGUUUCGGAAAAAUACAAAUUUCAAAAGGCUCUCGAAAUUCUUAGUGCAGCGACGGAAAUCUAUUUGUGAACUCUGCGUUAUAAUACAUCUAGACGCACACAUACAAAUAACAAUACUGCCAUGCAUGUCAAUCGAAUAAUCAUACUGCCAUUCAAGUCAAUCGAAUAAUCAUACUGCCAUGCCAUUCAAACAAAGACAUACAUACAAGAUUCAUUCACGAACAGAGUGCAGUUGGUGCUAGCUCCCACUACCGCCGAAAUGGCCACAUGUCCAAACUAAUCUAAUCAACCCAAUUCCCCAUCCCAUAUGUUGAUUGCCUGACCUUGGUAAGGGUCAACUGACACAUUCAAUUCGAAUUUGACAAACAAGAAGAAAAGGACAAGACGAAUACUCGCCAUUGCCUUUUGUAACAACGAGAAGGUGAUUGCAAAACUAUCGUUUAACACAAAAACUGAGAAACGAACAUCAAGACUCCUUCAACAUUUGACAUUUUGCCAACGGGUUAAAAUAGUAUAGCUAUCAAAUCGAGAUGGUACGGGUUCCAUUGGACGAGAGGAUUGCAUCGUUUUGCCCGAUAUUAACAUUUCGCUUGUCCUUUUCUGUAUAAACACAAUUCAUUGAACGC